rnacentral:rRNA from 1 species
UACGUAGGGGGCAAGCGUUGUCCGGAAUCAUUGGGCGUAAAGCGCGUGUAGGCGGCUCGGUAAGUCCGCUCUGAAAGCCCGGGGCUCAACCCCGGGAGGCGGGUGGAUACUGCUGAGCUCGAGUCCGGAAGAGGAGUGCGGAAUUCCUGGUGUAGCGGUGAAAUGCGUAGAUAUCAGGAGGAACACCAGCGGUGUAGACGGCUUCUGGACCAUUGCUGACGCUGAGACACGAAAGCGUGGGUAGCAAACAGG